UCUUUAAAGUCAUCUGCCUUCUUAUUACUUAGUUCUCAGUUCCAACGAUACAAUUGAAUUCCCAGGCAAAGGAUUCCACUUUAGUCCACACUUUCUCUUGGUUUCAAUUGCAUAAAUUUUCUCACUUCCAAAUUUUCAUCUUCAGUUCCCACUUUCCCUCUAUCCUUUCUCAUCGAUCGGUUGUUUUUGGGUGCUGCCAUAUGCGGAUACAAUAAAAGGGUUAGCGACGGUGGUAGCCAAUCAAAGAGAGCAGUGCCGAGGUUUGGCGGCAGGACAGCUAAUGGUCAGAAGAGUUUUGGGAAAAUUUUGGACAUCGGAACCGUAUUAUAUUACAUGGGAUUGAAUCUCCCCCUUCUUCUUGGUUCAAGGGAAACUGAAACAAAAUAGGAAACAGUGUUGCAAGAUAUCUAGGACUGGAUAUCUCAACGGGAUGGAAUAAGUGAAAGGAAGCAGGGAAGAUUAGCAUUAAUCAUGGAAUUCCAUAUGGAUGGUUCUAGUUAAACAUGGGGUGCAUCGGACACAGUCUCGCUUUUGGUCUUAGUUGUUAUAGCCUUAUAGGUGUUUUCUGAUUGCGCUACUACUCUUGUAGUUGUGACCCUCUCACAUUUUGUUCAGCUUAGUCAGGGACUAUUAUGCAGUAGUUGUUCUAAUGCUUAACCAUGAAAAACCUCAGUGGUUUUAUAUAAGCAGCUACUUACUACAUGCUACAUUUUGCUGUAAAGUACUAAAGGGAUUUGCCCUUACCACAUUAAUAGCGGUGUAACAUCCAUUCUGUCGUAGGAGCACAUACUCUUAUUUAUUUCUGCGAGCAUUAGAAGUUCCUUUUUAUC